AUGUGGCACUUUUCGAAUUUCGAGAUUCAAACAAGUCUAUCUUUGAUCGUAAAAAUUUUCAUAGAUCUUUUAAACAUUUUGAAUUAUCAAUUACUGUGACUUAUAGUACUUUUUACGUAGUUUACAAAUAUAUAAAUUUCAUUUCAAACAAAUUGAAGAUUCCAUGCGCAAAUUCCCGGUCAAACUAAAACUGUUUGACUCUUGAAAAGCGAAAAGUGCCACAUAA
rnacentral:pre_miRNA from 1 species